UAGCUCAUAUCCCAUUCUCCGCAGUGCUGUGGAAAUUGUGGCCAUAAUCUUGAAUCUACUGAAGUUCAGGACUAUGAACGCAGGCAAGAAUUUGAAAUUC
rfam:Methanosarcina sp. Ant1 MSANT_contig000047, whole genome shotgun sequence.